rnacentral:rRNA from 1 species
UACGAAGGGGGCUAGCGUUGCUCGGAAUCACUGGGCGUAAAGGGUGCGUAGGCGGGUCUUUUAAGUCAGGGGUGAAAUCCUGGAGCUCAACUCCAGAACUGCCUUUGAUACUGAGGAUCUUGAGUUCGGGAGAGGCGAGUGGAACUGCGAGUGUAGAGGUGAAAUUCGUAGAUAUUCGCAAGAACACCAGUGGCGAAGGCGGCUCACUGGCCCGAUACUGACGCUGAGGCACGAAAGCGUGGGGAGCAAACAGGG